UACGGGGGGGGCAAGCGUUGUUCGGAAUUACUGGGCGUAAAGGGCUUGUAGGUGGCCAACUAAGUCAGACGUGAAAUCCCUCGGCUUAACCGGGGAACUGCGUCUGAUACUGGUUGGCUUGAAUCCGGGAGAGGGAUGCGGAAUUCCAGGUGUAGCGGUGAAAUGCGUAGAUAUCUGGAGGAACACCGGUGGCGAAGGCGGCAUCCUGGACCGGCAUUGACGCUGAACAGCGAAAGCCAGGGGAGCAAACGGG
rnacentral:rRNA from 1 species